rnacentral:sRNA from 1 species
GUCAAAGGUGAAAAAGUAAAGCCAGUAUUUGAGGAACCACCAAAUCCCACAAAUGUGGAAAUAAGCCUGCAGCAGAUGAAAGCCAAUGAUCCUAGCUUGCAAGAAGUCAACCUCAACAACAUUAAGAACAUUCCAAUUCCAACCCUGAGGGAAUUUGCAAAGGCUCUGGAGACCAACACUCACGUGAAGAAGUUCAGCCUGGCCGCAACUCGCAGCAAUGACCCUGUGGCCAUUGUGAGUAAAAUUCUUAGAAAUAUAACAUGAAGUUAUUUAAUUCACUGGAGGCUCUAUUUACUUUGUUUCAUUAGCUAACAAUUUUUUAGAUCUGGAAAACUUACAUUCUACACAGUUAAUGAGCAAAAUUAUAUUUACAAUGCAGUAGUUAAACUUCAGAACUGAACUGUCAGAUGCUUUAAGUUAUCUGGAAUUUUGUCAGCAUUACAGUUUUCAGAGAAAGAAACAAGAUAAGUUUGGCAUUUAACUAACUGAAUAUUUAGAGUUUGUUCUGUGCUUAGGAUACAUUUUCUAAAACUUUCGCAUCU